GAUGAACGCUGGCGGCGUGCCUAAUACAUGCAAGUCGAGCGAACGGACGAGAAGCUUGCUUUUCUGAUGUUAGCGGCGGACGGGUGAGUAACACGUGGAUAACCUACCUAUAAGACUGGGAUAACUUCGGGAAACCGGAGCUAAUACCGGAUAAUAUUUUGAACCGCAUGGUUCAAAAGUGAAAGACGGUCUUGCUGUCACUUAUAGAUGGAUCCGCGCUGCAUUAGCUAGUUGGUAAGGUAACGGCUUACCAAGGCAACGAUGCAUAGCCGACCUGAGAGGGUGAUCGGCCACACUGGAACUGAGACACGGUCCAGACUCCUACGGGAGGCAGCAGUAGGGAAUCUUCCGAAAGGGGCGAAAGCCUGACGGAGCAACGCCGCGUGAGUGAUGAAGGUCUUCGGAUCGUAAAACUCUGUUAUUAGGGAAGAACAUAUGUGUAAGUAACUGUGCACAUCUUGACGGUACCUAAUCAGAAAGCCACGGCUAACUACG
rnacentral:rRNA from 1 species